UACAGGGGGGGCAAGCGUUGUUCGGAAUUACUGGGCGUAAAGGGUUCGUAGGCGGCCAACUAAGUCACACGUGAAAUCCCCAGGCUUAACCUGGGAACUGCGUGUGAUACUGGAUGGCUUGAAUCCGGGAGAGGAAUGCGGAAUUCCAGGUGUAGCGGUGAAAUGCGUAGAUAUCUGGAGGAACACCGGUGGCGAAGGCGGCAUUCUGGACCGGUAUUGACGCUGAUGAACGAAAGCCAGGGGAGCAAACGGG
rnacentral:rRNA from 1 species